GAUGUUGUAGUUAAAACUUGAUUCUUGGUCAAAUAAUUGUAUUAAUAUUUCGAAAUGUUAUGCACAUAACUUACAAAACAAACAGCCGGCCAACUAUAACGCUAAGUUUUGGCUGUGGUCUGUGAUGAUGUUAGGAAAAACAAAAGCAAUCAUGUACGCAAACCACUUUUCAAAAAUAGUAAGAAAACAAAUUAGAGACUGAUAUCGCAUGAUAACUUUCAUUAUUUAGGUAAGUCAUAUUAUUUACCUAUGUUGAUAUUACAUUAUAGAAACACCAUUUUCUUUUAAGUUUUUUAAAUACCAUUGUAAUUUAUUAUAUUUAUUGAUGAUCCAUAUGUAUAUAUUUAGGUACACAUAAAUUGUCUGAUGUUAAAUCUAUUGUAAUAUUUCACCAACAAUUUUCCUUUUCUUUAAAUCUACGAGAAUUUGCAAACUGUCAAAUGAAACAUUAUCUAGAAGUGUCUGGUAUUCAUAAAUCUUUAUUUAAAAUAUUAGGUACCUGUCUUCAAACAUAUUGCUCACUUUUAAGAAUUAGAAGUACUGCUAGUACCUAUUAUAAUACCAGUAAUACCCAAAUUCAAUUAGACAGGUAGGCAGUUUUUAAAAAUUCAAAAUAAAUUGUUUAUUUACUUAAUAUUAUGUUUGGAGUAUAAAAUAUCCAAUACUUAGGGUUACACUCUGUAACUAUCAAUAAUGUCCUGGCUAUUUUACUCUACGGCUAUUUAUUUAUAUUAUAAAAUAUAUUUUUUUUUUUUUGGUAAAUAAAUACAUAGUUAUAUCUGAUAAACGACACUUCAAAUAAUAGAUACCUAAUUGAUUUUUUUUUUAUAACUAAACAUUUAUAAUUUUUUAUGUUUUUCUAAAUGUAUUACUGUAUUCAUACUUAUUAACAAUAAUUGUACUACCUACUAUUACAUAGUUUAACAUAAUAUAAUACAUAUUACCUAUUAUCAUGUUUGUAGAUUAUCACACAUCUGGGUGAACCUAAUUAAUAAAAAUUCAAAGCAACGUCCAUGAAAUACAAUUCCUCAUAGCAAAAGUGUAUAAGGUAAGUAAUUGUUGUAGAUAAUUCUAUGUAUGUAUUAAAAUUAAAUAUACCGUCUAAAAAAUGAUUAAAUGUUUCAGAAUAGUUCUUGUGUAAAUAAGAAAAAUAUUUAUUGUUAUAAGACUGUCAAUUUCCUUGACUUAAGUACAGAUAGUUUUCAUAUCUACAGAAAUCAUUAAUAUUACAGUUCCAGUUAUAUCAAGUAAGAUAUUAAAUUGCGUCGAUAAUGCUAU